AGAAGGCCCUCUUGAUUGUUUAAUAAAUUGAAUCAAUUUUCUCGUUUUAUCCUAAAUUUUAACCGGGAACAGAUUUAGAAAUUCAUUUUAUUUUCUUAAACUGACUGACUUCAUCCAAAGAAACAAGCUUUUUUGUCUUGGAAUUAUAAACUUAAAACAGGGACGAUGUUUGUGACAAUUAUUGCCUUCACAAUAAUUGCCAUCAGUUCUGAUGCUCGUGUUGUCAUUGACAACGGCCAACCACUAAACAUACGUGGGGGAAAUGCUAAUGACGUCACUCUUGACAGCCAUGAUGACGACAUGAACGGAAAUACGCAUACAGGCGACGGACUUUGCCGACGGUGUAUGUGCAAGCUGAACGGCUGUCCGGAAGCGAUUUAUUCACGGUGCAUAUCAGCUGGUUCCCUUUGUUGUUGCUGCCUUCCAGGCAACCACCCGUGUCUUGAGUUACAAGAAUUUGAAGAGGUUCAUGAGACGGCGGGUACACUUGAGGCUCUUGAAGAAGGUAUUGAAGAUAUUGGGCAAUUGGAGAAAAAAUGAAGCUGGGAUAGUAUUGCCCAAUGGAACGAAGUGAAAAUUUGAAAUGAUUCUUAAACAAAGAAUAAUUCUAAAUAUUUUUUAUAUUAUAAUCUAUUUUUGUGGUAAUUUAUUGAUAAUUCUAUUUUAGAAUAGAAUUGUGUAAAAAGGUUUGAUAAUAUCUGUUAUGUGUUGAACUUCGGACAGAUUGGAAAAUUCGUUUCAAGGGUAGAUCUACCCGCCUAAUCCGCCUAUUAGGCAGUAAAGAGGUUGUUUUUUAUUAUUUGUUUGCUCUUUUGUUUAAAAGAAACAUAUUUACUGUUGUUAAGAUAACCAAUUAAAAGUAUCGACAACUUAA